UGUUGCUUUGCUUUUAUUUUAUUGAAUGAAAAUUUUUUUUAAUAUUAUUAUUUUCGUUGUUUGAAAAAAAUUCAUUCAUGACUGUGUGGACAUUUCUGGGGACUCUAUAAAGUUCAAGUUCCACUGCGAUUGCAGGCCAUGCGAAAGUUGUGGUACAGGUCGUCAGUAUAACAAUUAUCACCCAGUGCCUACCGUUGUCGGGGGAAGCUCCACUUUGGUGCACUGGGGAGAGACACUGAUGUUCCUUCAACUCCGCAUUGCUAACUGCUGAAAUUCUGUUUGAAUUCUUCAGCAGGGGAAGAAAAAAAAGUUGUUCGUCCAUGGUGUGGUGUCACGGUUCUGAUAAGUGCUCAUAUUUCAGUCUUAUUUUUUGUUUUGUUUUGUUUUUGUUUUUUGGAUUUGUUUUUCCUCCCCUCCCAGUGUAGGUGUUUUUACGCCCCCAUCUACUCCAUUUAGACCAUUUAGGAAGCGGGCUUCAACCCUACUUAUCGGGGCCAACUCAGGCUGGAAUAGAUAUAUUACAAUGUCCUAUAAAAAAGACAAAGAUACUUUUUAUAACAAUUUUUCUCCCCUGGGAAUCAAUCUCAGGUCUCCGGUGUGCUGCCACUUUCUUUUUCAACAAAUUGAAGAGAGGAAAGUACUAAUACUAUUUACAGUGGGUAAGGUAUAUGAUUUUCUUUUCAAUUUUUUUUUCUUUUUAAAUCGUGUUGAAAAAGAUAUGGUGCAGAGGUUUUACUCUUUCAUCUUUGUUUUAUAUCAACUUGAGAUAUAAUAUAUCCAACUUGUUGAUGCUUCGCUGUUUAUUUUUGUUGUGUUGAGCGAGUAGUCGGUACUGAAAUAGGGCGUUGAUUUCUCGUUGACUCAGAACUAUUUUGUCCCAAGUGAAGAGGCAGAUUUCAAUUAAACUGAACUCUACAGGACUUCCGUCAUGGGGAUAAAAAUCGUGAAAAUGUAAGAACAGGACUAUCUAGUAGUCUACGAAACAAAACAAAUAUGCCUACACAACAUAACGGAAGGAAAAGUAAUGUAAUAAAAGUUUUUAGUCCCAACAGAAGUCUGGAUUUUCUAUAGACCAUUGGAAAGCAGACCAGCAGCCUCUGCGAUUGGUUGCCUUGACGACAAAAAAGAUGUUGCUGUUGUUGGCUGACACUGUCGCAGAAAACAGAAUGAUACAAGGGGAGAUAGACUGUCUUUGUGAGUCGACGCCAACUGGUGAUGUCUAUGAUAUGAUCGGCAGUGCGCAACGUUUCUAGUAACUGGCGAAGGAUACCAACUUAGCCCCCGAACCUGUUCCCGUAAUAAAUACAGUGCUGGUGCUGAUGCUUGGAAUUUAUAACUAUAAGAAGCAACAAUGGUGCAUGUACCGUACCGGUAUCAGAAGUGGAAGGGACAUACAUGGUUUCAAAAACUUUUUUAAAAAAGUGAUCGGAUCACCCAUGAAAUUCAAUGUGUUGUCAGAACAUUUGUAUCGCUUGUUGGCACAGACAAUCUACACUGUUCAGGAGAAAUUUAAUAAAUAUUUUUUUAAAAGGGAAAUGAGAAA